GUUCUUGGCUUUCAGUCUAUCUCCUGCCACCCUGUAAAGUGGUGGCUUCUGCCAUGAUUUUAAGUUUCCUGAGGCCUCUCCAACUAUGCAGAACUGUGAAUGUGCAAGUUGCUACAAUAAUAAACACUGAAGAAGUAGAAUGCUCUGUGUUUGGCCAGCCUAGGAGGCCCAUUCAAGAUACCAUCAAUCAGGGGACUCAGCCAUGUUGGGGAAAAUAUAUUUAUUUUCAACCCCUACAGAAGCAUGAGUCUGCUGCCAUCAAGUCUAAUGCUAAAAUUGAUAUGUGAUUCCAAUGCAGCCCCAGGUUUGAUUUCAUGCUUCC
rnacentral:lncRNA from 13 species